rnacentral:tRNA from 1 species
CCUUCGAUAGCUCAGUUGGUAGAGCGGAGACUGUAGGUUACAUAUUGCUGACAUCCUUAGGUCACUGGUUCAAUGCCGGUCGAAGGA